ACCUGGCUGGCUCAGUCGGUGGAGCAUGUGACUCUUGAUCUUGCUUGGGGUUGUGAGUUCAAACCCCAUGUUGGGUA
rnacentral:tRNA from 1 species